rnacentral:rRNA from 1 species
GACGAACGCUGGCGGCGUGCCUAAUACAUGCAAGUAGAACGCACAGUUUAUACCGUAGCUUGCUACACCAUAAACUGUGAGUUGCGAACGGGUGAGUAACGCGUAGGUAACCUGCCUGGUAGCGGGGGAUAACUAUUGGAAACGAUAGCUAAUACCGCAUAAUAUUGAUUAUUGCAUGAUAAUUGAUUGAAAGAUGCUAUUGCAUCACUACCAGAUGGACCUGCGUUGUAUUAGCUAGUAGGUGAGGUAACGGCUCACCUAGGCGACGAUACAUAGCCGACCUGAGAGGGUGAUCGGCCACACUGGGACUGAGACACGGCCCAGACUCCUACGGGAGGCAGCAGUAGGGAAUCUUAGGCAAUGGACGAAAGUCUGACCGAGCAACGCCGCGUGAGUGAAGAAGGUUUUCGGAUCGUAAAGCUCUGUUGUAAGAGAAGAACGGGUGUGAGAGUGGAAAGUUCACACUGUGACGGUAUCUUACCAGAAAGGGACGGCUAACUACGUG